UACUUUGGGGGCUAGCGUUGUUCGGAAUUACUGGGCGUAAAGGGCGCGUAGGCGGUCUUGUAAGUCAGAUGUGAAAGCCCCGGGCUCAACCCGGGAAUAGCAUUUGAUACUGCGAGGCUUGAGUCCGGGAGAGGAUGGCGGAAUUCCCAGUGUAGAGGUGAAAUUCGUAGAUAUUGGGAAGAACACCGGUGGCGAAGGCGGCCAUCUGGACCGGUACUGACGCUGAGGCGCGAAAGCGUGGGGAGCAAACAGG
rnacentral:rRNA from 1 species